GACGAACGCUGGCGGCGUGCCUAAUACAUGCAAGUCGAGCGGGGUAGAGAGAGCUUGCUCUCAAAGCCUAGCGGCGGACGGGUGAGUAACACGUAGGCAACCUGCCUGUAAGCCUGGGAUAACUCCGGGAAACCGGAGCUAAUACCAGAUAAGCUGUAAGACCGCAUGGUCUUACACUAAAAGGAUGCGAUCCACUUACAGAUGGGCCUGCGGCGCAUUAGCUCGUUGGUGAGGUAACGGCUCACCAAGGCAACGAUGCGUAGCCGACCUGAGAGGGUGACCGGCCACACUGGGACUGAGACACGGCCCAGACUCCUACGGGAGGCAGCAGUAGGGAAUCUUCCGCAAUGGACGAAAGUCUGACGGAGCAACGCCGCGUGAGUGAUGAAGGUUUUCGGAUUGUAAAACUCUGUUGUCAGGGAAGAACACCCUAGAUCGGAUCUAGGACUGACGGUACCUGACGAGAAAGCCCCGGCUAACUACGUGCCAGCAGCCGCGGUAAUACGUAGGGGGCAAGCGUUGUCCGGAAUUAUUGGGCGUAAAGCGCGCGCAGGCGGUCCUUUAAGUCUGAUGUGAAAGUCCACGGCUCAACCGUGGGAUUGCAUUGGAAACUGGGGGACUUGAGUGCAGAAGAGGAGAGUGGAAUUCCUGGUGUAGCGGUGAAAUGCGUAGAGAUCAGGAGGAACACCAAUGGCGAAGGCAGCUCUCUGGUCUGUAACUGACGCUGAGGCGCGAAAGCGUGGGUAGCAAACAGGAUUAGAUACCCUGGUAGUCCACGCUGUAAACGAUGCUUACUCGAUGUCGGGGAAAUGAGCCUCCUCGGUGUCCAAGCUAACGCGAUAAGUAAGCCGCCUGGGGAGUACGGUCGCAAGAUUA
rnacentral:rRNA from 1 species